rnacentral:snoRNA from 1 species
AGGCUUGAAGAUGAUGAGCUCAUCACAUAUCUGUUACAAGGGCUCGGGAUGGAGUAUGACUCCCUGAUCACCAGCCUCACAACAAGCACAGAUCCGUUGUCCGUCAAUGACGUGUAUGCGCAUAUGCUCAGCUACGAGC